AAGAACUUGCCAGUCAAGAUGAAAAACUUCUUCUAAUGGAAUCCAGCUUGAAAGCUACUCAAGAGCAGCUAACUGAGCAAAUAGCAGAAACAGUUCGCCAAGAACAGAACAGUAGAAAACCCCAGGCAGAGCUGAAGACAGUGACAGAAGGGAUUAUUGCUUCUGAAGAAGAAAAAAAAAAAUGAUUACAAAAUCCUCCAUUUUUCCAUCUGUUACAACUUUAUUGUAAGAGGUAUAAAAAAGGAAGCAAGUAAGGAUGAUAAAUCCACUAGGCCUCAAAAUCUCAGAUGUUCACAGUACUUGACAACAGAGCCAAUGGACCUGAAGGGAAGAUGGAAAGUGGGAGUCAAGCUGGAAACUCUGCGCCCGGCUCUGGAAGCCGCACGAUCUGACAGUCGCCUCCAUCAGGAAAGUGAGUUAGUGGUUGCAAAUGUUAAUCAGUGGAUCAAAGCACAAAAGGGAGUAAAAUUGGGUCCUCUUAAAAAUCUGAUUUCAUUUCCUGUGGCCCAAAAUAAUUAAAACAUUCAUAAUUUACUUCUCAACUUAUCCCUUACUUCUUACCUACAA